rnacentral:rRNA from 1 species
CCUACGGGAGGCAGCAGUGAGGAAUAUUGGUCAAUGGGCGGGAGCCUGAACCAGCCAAGUCGCGUGAGGGAAGACGGUCCUAUGGAUUGUAAACCUCUUUAGGCGGGGAGCAAUGCCGGGCACGUGUGCCCGGAGGGAGAGUACCCGCAGCAUAAGCAUCGGCUAACUCCGUCCCAGCAGCCGCGGUAAUACGGAGGAUGCGAGCGUUAUCGGGAUUUAUUGGGUUUAAAGGGUUCGUAGGCGGAUUUUUAAGUCAGCGGUAAAAUGUCCGGGCUCAACCCGGGCCGGCCGUUGAAACUGGGGAUCUUGAGUGGGCGAGAAGUAUGCGGAAUGCGUGGUGUAGCGGUGAAAUGCAUAGAUAUCACGCAGAACUCCGAUUGCGAAGGCAGCAGACCGGCGCCCGACUGACGCUGAGGCACGAAAGCGUGGGGAUCGAACAGGAUUAGAUACCCCUGUAGUC